rnacentral:rRNA from 1 species
GAUGAACGCUGGCGGCGUGCCUAAUACAUGCAAGUCGAGCGAACGGACGAGAAGCUUGCUUCUCUGAUGUUAGCGGCGGACGGGUGAGUAACACGUGGAUAACCUACCUAUAAGACUGGGAUAACUUCGGGAAACCGGAGCUAAUACCGGAUAAUAUUUUGAACCGCAUGGUUCAAAAGUAAAAGACGGUCUUGCUGUCACUUAUAGAUGGAUCCGCGCUGCAUUAGCUAGUUGGUAAGGUAACGGCUUACCAAGGCAACGAUGCAUAGCCGACCUGAGAGGGUGAUCGGCCACACUGGAACUGAGACACGGUCCAGACUCCUACGGGAGGCAGCAGUAGGGAAUAUUCCGCAAUGGGCGAAAGCCUGACGGAGCAACGCCGCGUGAGUGAUGAAGGUCUUCGGAUCGUAAAACUCUGUUAUUAGGGAAGAACAUAUGUGUAAGUAACUGUGCACAUCUUGACGGUACCUAAUCAGAAAGCCACGGCUAACUACGUG